UACGAAGGGGGGCUAGCGUUGCUCGGAAUCACUGGGCGUAAAGGGUGCGUAGGCGGGUCUUUAAGUCAGGGGUGAAAUCCUGGAGCUCAACUCCAGAACUGCCUUUGAUACUGAGGAUCUUGAGUUCGGGAGAGGUGAGUGGAACUGCGAGUGUAGAGGUGAAAUUCGUAGAUAUUCGCAAGAACACCAGUGGCGAAGGCGGCUCACUGGCCCGAUACUGACGCUGAGGCACGAAAAGC
rnacentral:rRNA from 1 species